AAGAACCUCUUCACAUACAGAGUGUCUCAGGUAAGUCUAACUUUGGAGAUUCUCUACCAGUCAUCUUGGGUGACCUGAGGUAGCCACAUGAAAUGGCCAGAUUUGACAUCAUCCCUCUUCUGUGCCAGAAGGAACAAUUAGUCCUUCCAUAAAUAGAUCAAUAUUUGCUCAUGCUGUAGACUAUGGAAUCCAACCUGUAGUAUCCUUUCUGCAUGUUGGCACCAAGCCCACCUCAUGAAACCAGCAAUGGGCAUUUUUCUAAUUCUACUUUCAAAGGUCCCAUUAUGGGUAAUAGAAAAGAACAUGAAAAAGUCUAUACCUUUUUUUUUCUCCUGCCAUUUUCCAAAAGUUCAUCUUCAAAAGGCACAACUGUAAUGCCUUCUGCAUUGAGACAUGUCUACAAUAAACAUGGUCCAACUGGAUUACCAACUGCACCAUAGACACAGUACCUGAAUUAAAUAGCAGAAGAUAAGAGACUUGAAUAUUUGUAGCCUUUGAACAUAUUCUUCUGAGAUAGGACAUUCUUUGUUCCCUAAACUUGUAUGGGACAUUAGAGUUUCCUACCCAGUAUGUCCCAGUGCUCAAACUAUUUUUUAUUAUCUUCAGAGUUUUUCUUUCUGUCUUAAUUAAAAGAGUAGUUUUUACAGAGCUACAGAAUAAAUAAAACUCUGACGUAUUUUCACAUUCACACGUUGAACAUUUCAUGUACGUUUGACAGUUCAAUAUUAAACCUAAAUUCCCUUCCCCCACCAUAAAUUAUGAAGCAUAUAUUGCCAUCUAGCGUCCUUCUGAAAUGACACUUCUGCCAAGAUUAUGAAAUAAAACAUGUUCAGC
rnacentral:lncRNA from 1 species